CUAUGAUAAGCAAUAGAAGCAGCUACUGUAAUAAGUGGAUAGAUAAAAAUGUACAGUGGGGUCUAGGUUCUGCAUUGGGGGACACCAUCACACUGAUCAGGUUGCAUGGGCGAAUUUCUGCUCCAACAACUAAUGAUUUAAGCCUUGAGGGACAGAUUGGAGAAGGUAGAAAUUGGGAAGAAAUAAAAGAAUGGAAAGAAGCCGUCUUUGGUAGUGUUGGAGCAGCAAGCUACUUUCCCUGUUGAUUCACUGUCCUUAGUAGAAU
rnacentral:misc_RNA from 1 species